rnacentral:rRNA from 1 species
GAUUGAACGCUGGCGGCAUGCCUUACACANNCAAGUCGAACGGUAACGCGGGGCAACCUGGCGACGAGUGGCGAACGGGUGAGUAAUAUAUCGGAACGUGCCCAGUUGUGGGGGAUAACUGCUCGAAAGAGCAGCUAAUACCGCAUACGACCUGAGGGUGAAAGCGGGGGAUCGCAAGACCUCGCGCAAAUUGGAGCGGCCGAUAUCAGAUUAGGUAGUUGGUGGGGUAAAGGCCUACCAAGCCGACGAUCUGUAGCUGGUCUGAGAGGACGACCAGCCACACUGGGACUGAGACACGGCCCAGACUCCUACGGGAGGCAGCAGUGGGGAAUUUUGGACAAUGGGGGAAACCCUGAUCCAGCCAUGCCGCGUGCGGGAAGAAGGCCUUCGGGUUGUAAACCGCUUUUGUCAGGGAAGAAGACUCCUACAUUAAUACUGGGGGGUCAUGACGUUA